UUGGAGGGCAAGUCUGGUGCCAGCAGCCGCGGUAAUUCCAGCUCCAAUAGCGUAUAUUAAAGUUGUUGCAGUUAAAAAGCUCGUAGUUGAACUUCGGGAUCAAUGGAUUGGUCAUGCCGAUGGUGUGUACUGGUCAUAUUGGUUCUCACCUUCUAAGGAACCAUAAUGUCAUUUAUUUGAUGUUGUGGGGAAUUAGGACUGUUACCUUGAAAAAAUUAGAGUGUUUAAAGCAGGCUACGACU
rnacentral:rRNA from 1 species